GACGAACGCUGGCGGCGUGCCUAAUACAUGCAAGUAGAACGCUGAAGAGAGGAGCUUGCUCUUCUUGGAUGAGUUGCGAACGGGUGAGUAACGCGUAGGUAACCUGCCUUGCAGCGGGGGAUAACUAUUGGAAACGAUAGCUAAUACCGCAUAACAUUGUAUGACACAUGUCAUUUAUUUGAAAGGGGCAAUUGCUCCACUACAAGAUGGACUUGCGUUGUAUUAGGUAGUAGGUGAGGUAAUGGGUCACCUAGGGGAAGAUACAGAGCCGACCUGAGAGGGUGGUCAGCCAGACUGGGACUGAGACACGGCCCAGACCGCUUCGGGGAGGAGCAAGAAGGGAACGUCGGGAAUGGGGGCAAACCUGGGCGGACAACGCCGCGGGAGUGGAGAAGGGUGUCGGGUGCGAAAGCUCUGUUGUAGGGCAAGAACGGGUGUGGGAAUGGAAAGUUCACGCUGUGACGGUAGCUUACCAGAAAGCGACGGCUAACUACGUG
rnacentral:rRNA from 1 species